rnacentral:rRNA from 1 species
GACGAACGCUGGCGGCGUGCUUAACACAUGCAAGUCGAACGGAAAGGCCCCUUUGGGGGUACUCGAGUGGCGAACGGGUGCGUAACACGUGAGUAACCUGCCCUUGACUUCGGGAUAACUUCAGGAAACUGGGGCUAAUACCGGAUAGGAAUCCUUGCUGCAUGGUGGGGGUUGGAAAGCUUCGGCGGUUUUGGAUGGACUCGCGGCUUAUCAGCUUGUUGGUGGGGUAGUGGCUUACCAAGGCUUUGACGGGUAGCCGGCCUGAGAGGGCGACCGGCCACAUUGGGACUGAGAGACGGCCCAGACUCCGACGGGAGGCAGCAGGGGGGAAGAUUGCACAAUGGGCGGAAGCCUGAUGCAGCAACGCCGCGUGCGGGAUGACGGCCUUCGGGUUGUAAACCGCUUUCAGCAGGGGCGAAGCUUGUGGUGACGGUACCUGCAGAAGAAGCACCGGCUAACUACGUG